rnacentral:tRNA from 1 species
GCCGGUUUAGCUCAGUUGGUAGAGCAGCUGAUUUGUAAUCAGCAGGUCGUCGGUUCGAGUCCGACAACCGGCU